CCAGACUCCUACGGGAGGCAGCAGUGAGGAAUAUUGGUCAAUGGGCGUAAGCCUGAACCAGCCAAGUCGCGUGAGGGACGACGGCCCUACGGGUUGUAAACCUCUUUUGCCGGGGGACAAACGGCGGCACGCGUGCCGUCCUGAGGGUACCCGGAGAAAAAGCAUCGGCUAACUCCGUGCCAGCAGCCGCGGUAAUACGGGGGAUGCAAGCGUUAUCCGGAUUUAUUGGGUUUAAAGGGUGCGUAGGCUGUGAGGUAAGUCAGCGGUGAAAUGCCCCCGCUCAACGGGGUGAAGUGCCAUUGAUACUGCCUUGCUGGAAUGCGGAUGCCGUGGGAGGAAUGUGUGGUGUAGCGGUGAAAUGCAUAGAUAUCACACAGAACACCGAUUGCGAAGGCAUCUCACGAAUCCGCGAUUGACGCUGAUGCACGAAAGCGUGGGUAUCAAACAGGAUUAGAUACCCG
rnacentral:rRNA from 1 species